rnacentral:rRNA from 1 species
AGAGUUUGAUCCUGGCUCAGGAUUAACGCUGGCGGCGUGCAUGAAACAUGCAAGUCGAGCGCGGGAUGGAGGCUUCGGUCUCCAUCUCUAGCGGCGAACGGGUGAGUAACACGUGAGCAACCUACCUUUGAGUCCGGAAUAGCCCUGGGAAACCAGGAUUAAUGCCGGAUGUGGUCACGACGAGACAUCUCGACGUGAGU